UACGGGGGGGGCAAGCGUUGUUCGGAAUUACUGGGCGUAAAGGGCGCGUAGGCGGUACUUCAAGUCAGGCGUGAAAGCCCCGGGCUCAACCUGGGAACCGCGCUUGAGACUGGAGAACUAGAGUUCGGGAGAGGAUGGUGGAAUUCCCAGUGUAGAGGUGAAAUUCGUAGAUAUUGGGAAGAACACCGAUGGCGAAGGCAGCCAUCUGGACCGACACUGACGCUGAGGCGCGAAAGCGUGGGGAGCGAACGGG
rnacentral:rRNA from 1 species